AUUGAACGCUGGCGGCAGGCUUAACACAUGCAAGUCGAGCGGGGUGAUGGUGCUUGCACUAUCACUUAGCGGCGGACGGGUGAGUAAUGCUUAGGAAUCUGCCUAUUAGUGGGGACAACAUCUCGAAGGGGAUGCUAAUACCGCAUACGUCCUACGGGAGAAAGCAGGGGAUCACUUGUGACCUUGCGCUAAUAGAUGAGCCUAAGUCGGAUUAGCUAGUUGGUGGGGUAAAGGCCUACCAAGGCGACGAUCUGUAGCGGGUCUGAGAGGAUGAUCCGCCACACUGGGACUGAGACACGGCCCGGACUCCUACGGGAGGCAGCAGUGGGGAAUAUUGGACAAUGGGGGGAACCCUGAUCUAGCCAUGCCGCGUGUGUGAAGAAGGCCUUAUGGUUGUAAAGCACUUUAAGCGAGGAGGAGGCUCUUUUGGUUAAUACCCAAGAUGAGUGGACGUUACUCGCAGAAUAAGCACCGGCUAACUCUGUGCCAGCCGCCGCCGUAA
rnacentral:rRNA from 1 species